CUUCCAAAGGCAAGGCUCUGAAUGAACGGGCGAUAUUGGAUUUGUGGUGGAGAAGAUUUCUACGCAAUGAUGGACAGUGAUCUGAAGGCAGUAGAUGACAGCAGUGAAGAGGAGUAAAAGGGCGGUAUACUUAGAUGACAUGAACAUUAAGAAGAAGAGGGCAGGGACACCAACACUCAUCGCAGGCUUGCAGAUGCCUGCCCGGUAGUCCUGCUGAGCAUGCAUGCCUCCGUUGCCAAGGAGACCCAUUCAUUGCUGUCUCCACAUACAAGGCAAGCUGAGGCCUGCUGUUCAAGAUACUGAGGAGUCUGCUGUUUAUCUCUAACCCUCAUCUUAAUCCACACAAGCCCUGC